rnacentral:rRNA from 1 species
UACGAAGGGGGCUAGCGUUGCUCGGAAUCACUGGGCGUAAAGGGUGCGUAGGCGGGUCUUUUAAGUCAGGGGUGAAAUCCUGGAGCUCAACUCCAGAACUGCCUUUGAUACUGAAGAUCUUGAGUUCGGGAGAGGUGAGUGGAACUGCGAGUGUAGAGGUGAAAUUCGUAGAUAUUCGCAAGAACACCAGUGGCGAAGGCGCUCACUGGCCCGAUACUGACGCUGAGGCACGAAAGCCAGGGGAGCAAACAGG